GGUUAAACGUAGCACUUGAGUAAGAUGUAUUGUGUUAAAAUUGUAUAACUGUGUGUAUAUGGUUUAAAUUUUGAUAAACUGUAACAUCAUUUGAGAAGAGAUUUUUGUGUAAACUCCAGUUGUCAGUCAGUAUACAGACUGAAAAUUGUGACCUUUCGAUCUCUCAAAAGGUGAUAUAGUGGUGUGUAAAAGUACAAGUAACAGAAAUGAGGUUGAAUCAUGGCAAGCAGCUUGAUCAUGGGGAUAGUAUACCCAGUGAUUCCCCAGUUUCUUUAAUGAAACAGAAAUAUGGCCCUUCAAAUAUUAUGUAUUCAAAGAAAUGGGCAAAGUUAACUAAGAAUAAUAUAAAUCCAUGGCCAGUGGUGGGGUCAUUAGACCCUUGGGUGUUGUUAAGUUUAAGAACAAUGUUGUUAAAUGGAAAAAGUCUUUCAAAACUGGAAUGGUCUGCAUAUAUGUUAUGGCAUGAGGAAAAGAAAAAGCAAGAAUGUUCCCCCCAGUCAGGUGCAACAGGAGGGGCAUGUAAAGGAGAGGGUACUGGUGUUGCCUGUUUGUAUCCCUCACUGUACAAAUUAAAAAGAAAUGUUAAAAAUCCUCCGCCUUAUAAUGAUGAUGAGGAUUUUUUGAUUAAUCAUGAGAUUAUGAAUCCCUCUUUGGGUCACCUCCCCUCAGCAGAUGAAUGAUGCACCACAGCUUGUACCCCAAAAUUUAGCUGGUGCCUCAGCCAUGUUGCAUUGAGGUGGUAGACCUGAGAGGGAUAUUAGACUGCCUAAAAGAUUUGCUGAUCAUGCUGUGGUUACUAUCAGGUUUAUCA